AUGGCAGGCGCGGCGCCCUCCGCCUCCGCGCGCCAGAUAUCCCACACGCACUUCAUCGAGCAGCUCCGCCGCGCCGCCCGCGCCCGCGACGGCGAGGCGCUCCACGCCUGGGCGCUCAAGUCCGGCGCCGCGUCCCACGCGCCCGUCUCCAACUCCCUCAUCACCUUCUACGCCUCCCUCCCGCGGCCGCUCCUCGCCGCGGCCCUGGCCGUCUUCGCGGGCAUCCCCGCCGCCGCCCGCGACAUCGCCUCCUGGAACUCCCUGCUCAACCCGCUCUCGCACCACCACCCGCGCGCCGCGCUCUCCCACUUCCAAUCCAUGCUCUUCUCCUCCUCGCCCGCCAUCCUCCCGUCCCCGCAUUCCUUCGCCGCCGUCUUCACGGCCGCCGCCCGCGCGCGCUCCGCGUCCGCCGGGGCAGCCGCCCACGCCCUCGCUUGCAAGGUCCCCUCGGCUGGCUCCAACGUGUUCGUGUCCACCUCUCUGCUCAACAUGUACUGUAAGCUGGGCCUCGUCCCCGAUGCCCGGAGAGUGUUCGACGAAAUGCCGGUGCGGAACGAGUUCUCUUGGGCCGCUAUGGUGGCAGGCUAUGCUUCCACAAAGUGCUCCGAGGAGGCCUUUGAGAUCUUCCAGCUGAUGCUUGCGGAGUGCCCGUCACAGAAAAACGAGUUUGUGGCCACGGCUGUUCUUAGUGCGGUCAGUGUGCCGUCGGGCUUGCCGAUGGGGGUGCAGCUACAUGGGUUGGCUGUGAAGGAUGGGUUGGUGGUGUUUGUGUCGGUUGAGAACUCGCUCGUCACAAUGUAUGCAAAGGCUGGGUGUAUGGAUGCAGCAUUACAUGUGUUUGCGUCGUCUAAGGAGAGGAACUCCAUCACUUGGUCCGCGAUGAUCACUGGCUACGCGCAGAAUGGGAAUGCAGAAAGCGCAUUUAGAAUGUUCUUGCAGAUGCUUUCUGCGGGGUUUUCACCAACUGAGUUCACUUUGGUUGGGGUGCUCAAUGCGUGUAGUGAUGUGGGAGCAUUGAUGGAAGGAAAGCAGACACAUGGUUUGAUGGUGAAGCUUGGGUUUGAGGCGCAGGUGUAUGUGAAGAGCGCACUGGUGGACAUGUAUGCCAAAUGCGGCUGUAUUACUGAUGCAAAGGAAGGUUUUGAUCAAUUUCAUGAGCUUGACAUUGUCCUUUGGACGGCCAUGGUUGCCGGGCAUGUGCAGAACGGGGAGCAUGAGGAAGCCUUGAGAUUGUAUGCCAGGAUGGACAAGGAGGGCAUCAUUCCGACUAACUUGACUAUAACCAGUGUUCUUAGAGCAUGUGCUGGCCUUGCAGCAUUGGAGCCAGGGAAGCAAUUGCACACGCAAAUCCUCAAGUUCGGAUUUGGUUUGGGGUCUUCUGUCGGAAGUGCCUUGUCUACAAUGUAUUCAAAGUGUGGAAACCUUGACGAUGGCAUGGUUGUAUUCAGAAGGAUGCCUCAUAAGGAUGUUAUUGCAUGGAACUCGAUCAUUUCUGGAUUCUCUCAAAAUGGACGUGGAAAUGAAGCACUUGACCUGUUUGAGGAAAUGAAGCUAGAGGGCACUGCUCCAGAUCAUAUAACAUUCAUUAAUGUGUUAUGUGCUUGUAGUCACAUGGGCCUAGUUGACAGAGGAUGGAUUUACUUUAGGUCAAUGACCAAAGACUAUGGUUUAACUCCUCGGCUGGAUCAUUAUGCUUGCAUGGUUGAUAUUCUUAGCCGAGCAGGGAUGCUAAAUGAAGCAAAAGAUUUCAUAGAGUCCAUUAGUAUUGACCAUGGAACAUGUUUGUGGCGUAUAUUAUUGGGAGCAUGUCGCAGUAUACGGGAUUUUGAUGUCGGAGCAUAUGCUGGUGAGCAGCUGAUGGAGUUAGGUACUGGGGACUCCUCUGCAUAUAUAUUGUUGUCAAACAUCUAUGCUGCCCAGAGAAAAUGGACUGAUGUUGAGCGGGUGAGGCAUUUGAUGAGACAUCGGGGAGUUAGCAAAGAUCCAGGAUGCAGCUGGGUUGAGCUUAACAGCAGAAUUCAUGUGUUUGUUGUUGGGGAGCAGCAACAUCCUGAGGCGGAAAAUAUAAAUACAGAGUUGAGAAGGCUCGCUAAACACAUGAAGGACGAAGGGUACCGUCCAACAUCUAAAUUUUCAUGGGAUGAAGAACUGGAUACAUUGAGAGGAUCUCAUGAAGAAGAUCAAUUCGAGUUGAUAUCGGCAGUUUCUAGCUGA
rnacentral:rRNA from 1 species